AGCAGAGCAAUACAAAUGGAAAGCUCAUCUCCGUCCCUUGUACUCUUUUCUCAGGGUUUCCAUUCGCACUCCUCUCGGGCACGGGAGGGGCAACAUUUUGGGGGCUCGUCCGGGAUGAAUUCUGCGUUCUAAAGUGCAGCAAAUCAUCCAACAUUGAACCUGUCAUCAGAUCCUAGAUCGACACACCAUUCACUGCAACAAAAAUGGCGGCUCGUCUAGAUUUGCAGCGCAACAUCCAAAAGCAGUUGCACCAGCUAAUCAACUCUGCUAAGGAUGACUUGCUUCGCCAGUUGGCAGCCAGCAUCAAGGACGAGGUGGAAGAAGACGCACCAGAGGGCGAUGCAUGUGCAAUUGAGCUCUAUGACUUCAUCAUGGCCGUUGUGAGAGGCGACAAGUUGAAAAGUCUGGAGGAUGAAGGUAUGUCCCGUCUGCUAAUCUUCAACGACCUCAUCGAGGAGCUGCAGCAGUCACCAGAAGCCAUCGAAACAGAGCAAGGGCAGCCAGAUGAAGCAGAGGAGAUGCCUGGACCUCCAGUGGCGGCAGCAGUUGUGCAACUCAGGAUGGACAGUCAACACUCCAUCAGCAGUCAGGGCUCUGACGUAGUAAAGUUAUCAGAUGUUGCUGCUUUGCUUCCACGACGUGAAUUUAAAGUGCACAGUGGACAAAUAUCUGACUCAGAGUCUGACGUUAGCUAUGGUGUCCUUUGCAAACAGAUUGAUGAGGGUUUAGCUGAAAACUUCACUGAAAACGAGAUAAUCCGAGCUGUGUUAAGAAUAAUCCGACCCGGUACAUUCAAAGAUAUGCUUUCGACAAAACACGAGUUAACUGUAGGAGAGCUUAAGCGCUUUCUCAGAACACACUUAAAAGACAAAAGUAGUUCAGAGUUAUUCCAGGAGCUCAGUAAUGCAAAACAGCUUGAUCGUGAAAGUCCACAGCAGUUCAUGUACCGUUUAAUGGGGUUAAAACAGCGUGUAGUGUUUUCAUCACAGCAGAGUAACUCAGGUUUUCAGUAUGACAAAAAGCUAGUCCAAGGCGUGUUUCUUCACUCACUUUACCAAGGCAUAGGUGAAAAAUAUGCAUAUGUGAGAAGAGAUUUAAAGGGACUGGUUAAUAAUAGCAGUGUAACAGAUGAUUACAUUCUAGAGGUAAUGACUAAAUCAGUUCAGGAGGAGGUAGAGAGACAAUCACGCAUAGGUCAGACACAUAGGACCAAGGUGUUGACUGUCAACGCCACUCACCCAGGGGAAAGAGAACAAGUAGUCCAGCCUGCAGCCGAAGUUAAAGCUACAGUUCUCCAGACCCAAGCAGAAGUGCAAGCCCAGCGCACAGCUAUCCACGAACUGACUACUCAUGUUGCGGCAUUGACUAAAACUCUGGAAAAGGCUUUUACACCCACAGCAAGAGCUCCAGAGCCGGCGCAGACCGUCACAGUGAGCACCGUGCAGCCACCAAAGACGACCAAACCUUUUCGUAAGUGCCAAUCCUGCAUCACCGACGGACUUGAUCGCUGCUAUCACUGCUUUAAGUGUGGACAAGAAGGACACAGAGCUGUUGGCUGCCUGCUCAAAAGUAUGUCAUCGGGAAACGGGAAGAGGUCACUGGGGUGGGACCACCAGUGAUCGCGACCACACCCAGAACAGCGUCCCAUAUCAAAGAACA
rnacentral:lncRNA from 1 species